rnacentral:rRNA from 1 species
UACGUAGGAGGCGAGCGUUGUCCGGAAUUACUGGGUGUAAAGCGCGCGUAGGUGGGAGGCCAAGUCUGUGGUGAAAGCGCCCGGCUCAACUGGGCAUGGUCCAUGGAAACUGGUCACCUGGAGGACGGUAGAGGCGAGUGGAAUUCCCGGUGUAGUGGUGAAAUGCGUAGAUAUCUGGAGGAACACCGGUGGCGAAGGCGACAUCCUGGACCGGUAUUGACGCUGAGGCGCGAAAGCCAGGGGAGCAAACGGG